rnacentral:rRNA from 1 species
UACGUAGGGGGCAAGCGUUGUCCGGAUUCAUUGGGCGUAAAGAGCGUGUAGGCGGCCAGGUAGGUCGGUUGUGAAAACUGGAGGCUCAACCUUCAGAGGUCGACCGAAACCAUCUGGCUAGAGUCCGGGAGAGGAGAGUGGAAUUCCUGGUGUAGCGGUGAAAUGCGCAGAUAUCAGGAAGAACACCGGUGGCGAAGGCGGGUCUCUGGGCAACAACUGACGCUGGAGGAGCGAAAGCGUGGGGAGCGAACAGG